ACUGUGGACAGAGAGAGAGAGAGAGAGAGAUGGCAAUGGGUCAGGUCAAUAUAGCUGUAAGGCGGACAAAAAAAACCCACAAUUAAAUACUGACUCUUAAUGCUACAGAAGAGCAGAAGAGAGGAGAGAGAGAGAGAGAGAGAGAGAGAGAGAGAGAGAGAGAGAGCUAGAGGUGCAUAAAAAGCUAGCAUUUAUGCAGAUGAGGGAGGAAGAUAUAGCUAGAGAGAGCUGUAGGGGGAGAAUUGUCACGAGGCUUCUUUUUCUCUUACCUAAAACAUGCAUGCCUCGAGUGUUUGUGUGCCAGGAGCUUCAGCUGGUUGCUUAAAAAGAGCCUUAAUUUCCAUCAAAGGCCAAACCUUUAUGCAGCGUCUUGCUUCUUCUUUCUUCCCUUGUCUGGUUUUGUUGGUUUGAGAGCUUGAAGCUGCCAGCAUGAUCUGGUAUACUUAACCUAUAGCUAUAUCAGCAUCACACUACUAGUAAUAUAUAUAUAUAUGUAUAUAUUUUAGAUCUUGUAGCACCAAAUUAUAAAUAUAUAUGUAUGGCCAAAUAGGUAGAGAUUGAUUUUUAGAUAUACAGAACCAAACUUUGGUGGAUGCCAUCAUUUCUUAUAGAUCUUGAUAAUUUCAUGUUUUUGAAGAGAAGGGUUUUUAGUUAAUUAAUUAACCAAGAGAAUUGACAUCCUGCUAAUUACAUAUAUAUUUAUUUUUUCAAUCAAACAAUUGCAAGUUGAUCAGAAACCUCUUUGAACUUAGUUUAAUUAUUACUAGCUAGAUAUAUGUAAGGUUCUUCUACCAGGUCAUCUUGCAGCUUCAAUCACUCACACCAACAAUAGAAAAACUUCUUUAGCUAAGGAUAUAUACAAGGGCUCUUCCCAAGCGCAGGUUUUUUUCAGGGAGAAGCUUUCACUACCAAAGGGCCUUUCUUUCCAAUUGUACUGACAUGUAUUAGCUUUGUUAUGCUUUAAUAGGAGAUUUUCAAGUUUACCAUGUUUAUAUAUUAUUAAGAGUCAUUUUGAAAAACCUGUAAGAGGGUGUAACAAAUGUAAUUUGAUAAUGCAUCCAUUCUCCUUGUCUUUCUUUAUCUUUAUUUUUGUGAAAGUUACAUCCCUUGGCAUAUAUAUAAAACCCAGACAUUUUGAUCUGCUACACAAA